rnacentral:rRNA from 1 species
UAGGGAAUCUUCGGCAAUGGGGGGAACCCUGACCGAGCAACGCCGCGUGAGUGAAGAAGGUUUUCGGAUCGUAAAGCUCUGUUGUUAAGGAAGAACGAGUGUGAGAAUGGAAAGUUCAUGCUGUGACGGUACUUAACCAGAAAGGGACGGCUAACUACGUGCCAGCAGCCGCGGUAAUACGUAGGUCCCGAGCGUUGUCCGGAUUUAUUGGGCGUAAAGCGAGCGAAGGCGGUUAGAAAAGUCUGAAGUGAAAGGCAGUGGCUCAACCAUUGUAGGCUUUGGAAACUGUUUAACUUGAGUGCAGAAGGGGAGAGUGGAAUUCCAUGUGUAGCGGUGAAAUGCGUAGAUAUAUGGAGGAACACCGGUGGCGAAAGCGGCUCUCGGGUCUGUAACUGACGCUGAGGCUCGAAAGCGUGGGGAGCGAACAGG